rnacentral:rRNA from 1 species
CAGCAGCCACGGUAAUACGUAGGUGGCAAGCGUUGUCCGGAAUGAUUGGGCGUAAAGGGCGCGCAGGCGGCUGUGUAAGUCUGUCUAGAAAGUGCGGGGCUAAACCCCGUGAGAGGAUGGAAACUGGACAGCUGAGAGUGUCGGAGAGGAAAGCGGAAUUCCUAGUGUAGCGGUGAAAUGCGUAGAUAUUAGGAAGAACACCAGUGGCGAAGGCGACUUUCUGGACGAAAACUGACGCUGAGGCGCGAAAGCCAGGGGAGCGAACGGGAUUAGAUACCCCUGUAGUCCCUGUCUCUUAUAC